rnacentral:rRNA from 1 species
UACGUAGGGACCGAGCGUUGUCCGGAUUCAUUGGGCGUAAAGAGCUCGUAGGCGGCUGUUCAAGUCGAACGUGAAAACUCGGAGCUCAACUCCGAGCCUGCGUUCGAUACUGGACGGCUAGAGUCUGGUAGGGGGAUCUGGAAUUCCUGGUGUAGCGGUGGAAUGCGCAGAUAUCAGGAGGAACACCCGGUGGCGAAGGCGGAUCUCUGGGGCCUGUCCUGACGCUGGAGGCGC